AUCACUUCUUGGCCUUUUGGCUAAGAUCAAGUGUAGUUAACAAUUAUUUCAAUAUUUGAAAUUGUGUAUCAAUAAAAUACUU
ensembl:snRNA U2 U2 spliceosomal RNA